GACGAACGCUGGCGGCGCGCUUAACACAUGCAAGUCGAGCGAGAACCGGGGCUUCGGCCCCGGGGACAGCGGCGAACGGGUGAGUAAUGCUUAGGAAUCUGCCUAUUAGUGGGGGACAACAUUCCGAAAGGAAUGCUAAUACCGCAUACGCCCUACGGGGGAAAGCAGGGGAUCUUCGGACCUUGCGCUAAUAGAUGAGCCUAAGUCAGAUUAGCUAGUUGGUGGGGUAAAGGCCUACCAAGGCGACGAUCUGUAGCGGGUCUGAGAGGAUGAUCCGCCACACUGGGACUGAGACACGGCCCAGACUCCUACGGGAGGCAGCAGUGGGGAAUAUUGGACAAUGGGCGAAAGCCUGAUCCAGCCAUGCCGCGUGUGUGAAGAAGGCCUUUUGGUUGUAAAGCACUUUAAACGAGGAGGAGGCUACCGAGAUUAAUACUCUUGGAUAGUGGACGUUACUCGCAGAAUAAGCACCGGCUAACUCUGUGCCAGCCGCCGUAAGAC
rnacentral:rRNA from 1 species